rnacentral:rRNA from 2 species
GGCGGCGUGCCUAAUACAUGCAAGUCGAACGAACUCUGGUAUUGAUUGGUGCUUGCAUCAUGAUUUACAUUUGAGUGAGUGGCGAACUGGUGAGUAACACGUGGGAAACCUGCCCAGAAGCGGGGGAUAACACCUGGAAACAGAUGCUAAUACCGCAUAACAACUUGGACCGCAUGGUCCGAGUUUGAAAGAUGGCUUCGGCUAUCACUUUUGGAUGGUCCCGCGGCGUAUUAGCUAGAUGGUGGGGUAACGGCUCACCAUGGCAAUGAUACGUAGCCGACCUGAGAGGGUAAUCGGCCACAUUGGGACUGAGACACGGCCCAAACUCCUACGGGAGGCAGCAGUAGGGAAUCUUCCACAAUGGACGAAAGUCUGAUGGAGCAACGCCGCGUGAGUGAAGAAGGGUUUCGGCUCGUAAAACUCUGUUGUUAAAGAAGAACAUAUCUGAGAGUAACUGUUCAGGUAUUGACGGUAUUUAACCAGAAAGCCACGGCUAACUACGUGCCAGCAGCCGCGGUAAUACGUAGGUGGCAAGCGUUGUCCGGAUUUAUUGGGCGUAAAGCGAGCGCAGGCGGUUUUUUAAGUCUGAUGUGAAAGCCUUCGGCUCAACCGAAGAAGUGCAUCGGAAACUGGGAAACUUGAGUGCAGAAGAGGACAGUGGAACUCCAUGUGUAGCGGUGAAAUGCGUAGAUAUAUGGAAGAACACCAGUGGCGAAGGCGGCUGUCUGGUCUGUAACUGACGCUGAGGCUCGAAAGUAUGGGUAGCAAACAGGAUUAGAUACCCUGGUAGUCCAUACCGUAAACGAUGAAUGCUAAGUGUUGGAGGGUUUCCGCCCUUCAGUGCUGCAGCUAACGCAUUAAGCAUUCCGCCUGGGGAGUACGGCCGCAAGGCUGAAACUCAAAGGAAUUGACGGGGGCCCGCACAAGCGGUGGAGCAUGUGGUUUAAUUCGAAGCUACGCGAAGAACCUUACCAGGUCUUGACAUACUAUGCAAAUCUAAGAGAUUAGACGUUCCCUUCGGGGACAUGGAUACAGGUGGUGCAUGGUUGUCGUCAGCUCGUGUCGUGAGAUGUUGGGUUAAGUCCCGCAACGAGCGCAACCCUUAUUAUCAGUUGCCAGCAUUAAGUUGGGCACUCUGGUGAGACUGCCGGUGACAAACCGGAGGAAGGUGGGGAUGACGUCAAAUCAUCAUGCCCCUUAUGACCUGGGCUACACACGUGCUACAAUGGAUGGUACAACGAGUUGCGAACUCGCGAGAGUAAGCUAAUCUCUUAAAGCCAUUCUCAGUUCGGAUUGUAGGCUGCAACUCGCCUACAUGAAGUCGGAAUCGCUAGUAAUCGCGGAUCAGCAUGCCGCGGUGAAUACGUUCCCGGGCCUUGUACACACCGCCCGUCACACCAUGAGAGUUUGUAACACCCAAAGUCGGUGGGGUAACCUUUUAGGAACCAGCCGCCUAAGGUGGGACAGA